rnacentral:lncRNA from 1 species
UAUAAAUAAGAACUGUACGUAAAAUCAAAGUAGACAGCAAAACGUUUCAUGGCAUUCUAUAGUAAUCCAUAUUUACAAAAACAUGCUUUGGUACAUCACGGCAAUGGAACUUGGAACAAAAUUAAACUUUGAGAAAAAGGUAUUAAAGCAAACAGAAGAAAGUCCAAAAUUGUGACAAAGAAUGUGCAGUUGUGUUGCAAUUGAUGUGCAAUUCUACACCAGCAUUUAUCAGCAAUUGCG